UCACUUUUUUGACGCACUGGGUAUACCUUUGGCGUUAUUUUUCAACGUGCAGGUUAGUCCGAUAGACUUCUAUAGAACUCAGCAGCGUUUAAAUUUGACGUCUUGGUUCAGCACACCGCAACGACACUGAAUAAAUAAAAAUAAGUAAUAGGCUACAAAAAAAUUAUAUAUGACAGAGAUCGUUUUUAUCUGGCCCUCCAACUUGUUUUUGAGGUUUAAAUAUUCUCGCAAUCUGAUAUCAAAGUGAUCUCUGUGCCAAAGCUUAGCGCGUUCAUCAGUGGUGAGUUUAACAACACUCAACUGCAGGUAAAACAGCAUUCAGCGGUGAGUUUGACCAAAGCAACACUCAACUGCAGGGAAAACGGCAUAAAAAGUUCAUCAUCUCUAUGAAAUCACGUUCAAGAAGUCUCAUUCAGCACACAUCGCGAUACUUGCCAUCAGUUUCCAUGUGCCACAGGGUCGCUGAAAAGAUGUAAAGGAAGCAGUCAUCCCUGUGGUGUUUGUGGAGAGGUAUUUUUUCAGAAAUGGAGAAGACAGAAAGCUGCGGAGGCAGACAUUUGCAGCAGCCAAGUGUUCGAGUGAGCAUGGUGACCACAAGUGUGUGUCGAACUUUUCAUGACCUGAUGACAGUGGUUCCCAAUCCUGAUCCUGGAGAACCCCAGCACUGCACGGUUUUGGUGUCUCUCUUAUCUGACAAACACACUUUUGAGGUCUUGGAGUCUUCACUGAUGAGCUGAUGAGUUGAAU